ensembl:rRNA 5S_rRNA 5S ribosomal RNA
GUCUGUGGCCACACCACUCUGAACACGUCUGAUCUCGGAGGCUAAGCAGGGUCGGGCCUGGUUAGUGCUUGGAUGGGAGGAAAGGAGCAGCCUGGACACAAACU